rnacentral:lncRNA from 1 species
CCCAGAAACGUCGCAUCAAUUCGGAAAAAAGCUGCAGUCCAAACGUCUCUCUCUUUAUCCUUCCAUAGAAGGAGCCGUUUGAGAAUUGUGAGGUGUCGAAAUCUCGUAGCCUCAUCGGACGGCUUCAACUCUCAAUCCGUUGAGGAAUUGUACUAUUUAUUCAACGGCUUUCUUCAACCUUAUCUCUUUGAAAUUCGACCGUUUUCCCCCUAAAUCAAUCCAUCCUAUAUAAGGGAGAAAUAGAAACAAAAAUACAAUAAAAACAUUAACAAAAGAAUGAAGAGAUGCAAAGGACGACAAAUCGAGAGCUAGUAUGAUUCUCUGGUUGUUAGAGCAGUAGAAGCUUCAUGGUCCUAGUCUCGCUGCUCUGAAGAAGGAAAAAGGUUCAGGACCCUAUAAAUAGAGAAAUGUUCCUUCUAACUUAAUCAGCAUUCACUCUUAGGGGCUUUGAGAGUUUUGGUUAGGGGAAGAUUUUAUGGGUCACAAGUUUGAUAUGUUAUCAUCACUUGUGUGAACCUCCCAUGUAUUCCGAGAGAAUUGGUUGAAGUUGUUUCUCUCUAUAUUUUGUACUCUCAUACUUAUAGUGGAUUGCUCAUCUUCUUUAUGGACGUAGGUCGAUUGACCGAACCACGUUCUUUACUCGUGAUCUUUUGAGGUUUGCUUUGCUAGCUUUCGCAUUUAUACCUACUUAUUUCGGUCCUAACAAGUGGCAUCAAGGCCAGAUUCAAUGAUGGAGUCUGGUUCAGUGGUUCGAUAAUCGAUGAUUGAACCAGGUCAGGGAAAGGUGUUCAUCUUGACGGGUGUAGUUCUAGCCGUAACCUUUUUUUACAGUAAUGAAGAUUUUGUUGGAGAAAUUGUUUUAGAGAAGUUCUCUAUGUUGAGACAUAAACUUUGCAAAGGAGAUGAUUAUGGAGAGGAGAAACAAAUUGUUGAAGAUUAAGUAAAGAAGGUGGACAAAUUUAUUUUGUUAGAAAUUCAGGCAAAGGGGGAUUUGUUGGGUUUUAUUUGCCCUAAAUUUCUUACUAUAAAUAGGUUUUCCUUUUAGGAAAAAUGUUAGUCUCUUAGGCUUUGAGAGUUUUGGUUAGAGGGAGAAUUUGUGGGUCACAAGCUUGAUACGUUAUCACUUGUGUGAACCUCCCAUGUAUUCCGAGUGAAUUGGUUGAGGUUGUUUCUCGUACUCUCAUAUUUAUAGUGGAUUGUUCAUCUCCUUUGCGGACGUAGGUCGAUUGACCGAACCACGUUAAAUUUUUGUGUCUUUUGGUAUAUUUUUCAUUGUUUUCUUACUCGUGAUUUUUCGAGGUUUGCUUUGCUAGCUUCUGCAUUUACAUCUACUUAUUUUCGAUCCUAACAUUACCAAGCU